rnacentral:lncRNA from 1 species
UAGUUUACAGUUUAACACAUAGACACUGAGAUUUCAUCAUAUGAUGCCGCUUCAAUCACUAUCACAUGGAGCAGUAGGGACCCCACUACCAACGUGGACAUAUUUACACAAAUACGGUAACAAUUGAACACUUAUCACAAUAUAGUGCAGUAAUGCUAGCCAUGAUAGUAUUCACCAAUGUGGCCACUUAACGGUAAAUAGUAAACAGGACAAUCGAUUUUUUGUCCACAUGAUAGGGUUCACCAAUAAUUAUCCCACCGAAUUUCACCCACGCACACACAUAGCCCUCCGUGAUAAAUGAUUAAAUGGAUUUUAACGUCUUGACACUUAACACAGACUCAUGGCUUUUUGACUAACACUUACAUUUAUUUUGCAUGUUUUGCUAUCUUUCUAAUUGGAU